AUGCCCGCCCCGCUGCCCCCGACGGAGCUGCUGGGCUCGGAGCGGGCCGUGGUGCUCGUGUCCUGUGUCCUGUCCUGCGUGGGCUCCUCGCUCCUGCUCUGCUCCCAGGCGCUGUGGCCGGAGCUGCGGACGCGGCCGCGGCAGCUCCUGCUCUACCUGUCGCUGGCCGACCUGCUCUCGGCGCUCUCCUACUUCUACGGGGUGCUGCAGGACUUCGACAGGACCUCCUGGGACUGCGUCCUGCAGGGCGCCCUGUCCACCUUCGCCAACACCAGCUCCUUCUUCUGGACCAUGGCCAUCGCCCUCUACCUCUACCUCACCAUCGUCAGGGGCUCGCCCACGGGCACGGGCUUGCUGUGCUGCUUCCACGCCGUGAGCUGGGGUGUCCCCCUCGGCAUCACGGUGGCGGCCGUGGCUCUGAAGAAGAUCGGCUACGACGCCUCCAACGUUUCCGUGGGCUGGUGUUGGGUCAACCUGGACGCCGAGGAUCGUGUCCUGUGGAUGCUGCUAACGGGGAAAGUUUGGGAGAUCCUGGCCUAUGUGACCCUGCCAGUGCUCUACAUCCUCAUCAAGAAGCACAUUAACAGAGCACACGCAGCUCUCUCAGAGUACCGCCCCAUCCUCUCGGGAGCACCUGCAUUCCAGCCCAGGACUUCCAUAGCGGAUAAGAAGUUGAUUCUCAUCCCUGUCAUCUUCAUCUUCCUCCGCAUCUGGAGCACUGUGAGGUUCAUCCUGACCCUCUGCAACUCCCCUGCCGUGCAAAACUCAGCCCUGGUUGUCCUGCACGGAAUUGGUAACACGUUCCAAGGAGGUGCCAACUGCAUCAUGUUUGUGCUCUGCACUCGGGUGGUCCGGGCUCGGCUGCUUUCCUUCAUCUGCUGCUGCAAACACGACGAGGGGGAUUGGUCCUGGCAAAGAUCAAACAGCUCCUGGCAGCGCCCAGAACCCCACAAGGACGUGCCAGGCCCUGAGCAGACAAAGCCACUGCUUUCCAGCACCUGAGCUGCCUCCACCUCAGCGCUGAGUCCUUCUUUCAUGGUAAAAAAAUCCAGUGUGUGGGAUCAUCCCGGAGUCCCACAGAGGGAGCUAAAGCCCGGGAAACGCGCCGCUGGAGAGGCUGCGCAGAUGGAAAAGGUCCCACUCCUCCUUGCCCUCACAUACCAAAGGCUUUGGACUUCAACUCUGCUCAGGAUCCUCUGGAAGAGACUGUUUGACUGCGCUCCAGUUUCCUGGUUUCCUUCCCUUCUUCCCCUCACCCUCCGCUAAAAAUCUUAGAAAUCGGUUUGGGGUUUUGCUUUUCUGUCUGACGAGGCGAAUGUGUGGCGAGUUCUGAGGUGAGCAAAUAUCACAGGGACAGGGAAACUUCAGUAGCUGUUGAGUAGGACUGUGCUGGGCAUGGAUUUCAGUCCUAGCGUGUCAGUCUUCCCGGGAGCUCCAGGCUGGCUCCUGUUCUUCACUUGAACACGGACAACAACGUGCAAACAAACGUCUCUGUUUGGUGGUGGUGGUGGUGGUGGUGGAUGGUUCCUCUGGAUGGUUCAUUCCUCCUCCUGGAUGGCUGAGGGCCUUCACCAUCAUCAGGGAUUGUGGUGGCAGCCCAGGAGCUGCCUCCUGAGGAAAUCUGAACUCUGCAGAGUGCCCUGGUGCUCAGGGAUGUUCCCCAGAGCCUCCCGCAAGGACAGCCCUCCCAGCAGUGCCUGGCCAGUGCUCUGAGCUCCAGAGCUCCCCUGCUGAAGGCUGCAGUCUGUUCUUGCUUUGGGAGUGUUGCAUCAGACCUGGGGAGGGGAUGGGGGUUGGUUUGCUUGGUUUACUAUUUGGAGAUAAUGUUUUACUUUAUUUACAGCUCCUCGUUUGCCUGGUGUUAAAAUAUUUCUCCAACUCGUACAAAAUAAAGUUUUGUUUCUUUACCA